rnacentral:rRNA from 1 species
UGCCAGUAGUCAUAUGCUUGUCUCAAAGAUUAAGCCAUGCAUGUCUAAGUACACACUCUAGUAAAGUGAAACCGCGAAUGGCUCAUUAAAUCAGUUAUGGUUUAUUAGAUCGUGCGAUCCUAUUUGGAUAACUGUGGUAAUUCUAGAGCUAAUACAUGCAACUGGCCCUGACUUUACGAAGGGGCGCUUUUAUUAGAUCAAAAUCAAUCAGGAGCAAUCCUGUUUUUGUGAUGACUCUGGAUAACUUCAUGCCGACCGUAUGGCCUUGUGCCGACGGCGUAUCUUUCAAAUGUCUGCCCUAUCAACUUUCGAUGGUAGGUGAUAUGCCUACCAUGGUUGUAACGGGUAACAGAGAAUCAGGGUUCGAUUCCGGAGAGGGAGCCUGAGAAACGGCUACCACAUCCAAGGAAGGCAGCAGGCGCGCAAAUUACCCACUCCCGGCACGGGGAGGUAGUGACGAAAAAUAACAAUGCUGGGCUUCAAGUCCGGUAAUUGGAAUGAGUACACUUUAAAUCCUUUAACGAGGAUCUAGUGGAGGGCAAGUCUGGUGCCAGCAGCCGCGGUAAUUCCAGCUCCACGAGCAUGUACGUAAGUUGUUGCAGUUAAAAAGCUCGUAGUUGGAUCUCAGGCCUGUGACCGGUGGUCCGCCCGAUACGGGUGUGCACUGCCGUGUCCGGUCUACGUCUGGUUUCAAUCUAUAGUGCUCUUAACCGGGUGCUAUAGAAUGCCAGAAAGUUUACUCUGAAAAAAUUAGAGUGCUUAAAGCAAGCCGUUGUGCUUGAAUACUGUUGCAUGGAAUAAUGGAAUAGGACCUCGGAUCUAUUUUGUCGGUUUUCGGAGUCGAGGUAACGAUUAAGAGGGACAGACGGGGGCAUUCGUAUUGCGCCGUUAGAGGUGAAAUUCUUGGAUCGGCGCAAGACGAACAACUGCGAAAGCAUUUGCCAAGGAUGUUUUCAUUAAUCAAGAACGAAAGUCAGAGGUUCGAAGACGAUCAGAUACCGUCGUAGUUCUGACCAUAAACGAUGCCAACUGGCGAUCUGCCGCAGUCUGGCUUAAAGGACUCGGCAGGCAGCCUCCGGGAAACCUAAGUCUAUGGGUUCCGGGGGAAGUAUGGUUGCAAAGCUGAAACUUAAAGGAAUUGACGGAAGGGCACCACCAGGAGUGGAGCCUGCGGCUUAAUUUGACUCAACACGGG